rnacentral:rRNA from 1 species
GAUGAACGCUGGCGGCGUGCCUAAUACAUGCAAGUCGAGCGAACGGACGAGAAGCUUGCUUCUCUGAUGUUAGCGGCGGACGGGUGAGUAAGACGUGGAUAACCUACCUAUAAUACUGGGAUAACUUCGGGAAACCGGAGCUAAUACUGGAUGAUAUUUUGAACCGCAUGGUUCAAAAGUGAAAGACGGUCUGGCUGUCACUUAUAGAUGGAUCCGCGCUGCAUUAGCUAGUUGGUAAGGUAACGGCUUACCAAGGCAACGAUGCGUAGCCGACCUGAGAGGGUGAUCGGCCACACUGGAACUGAGACACGGUCCAGACUCCUACGGGAGGCAGCAGUAGGGAAUCUUCCGCAAUGGGCGAAAGCCUGACGGAGCAACGCCGCGUGAGUGAUGAAGGUCUUCGGAUCGUAAAACUCUGUUAUUAGGGAAGAACAUAUGUGUAAGUAACUGUGCACAUCUUGACGGUACCUAAUCAGAAAGCCACGGCUAACUACGUG